rnacentral:lncRNA from 1 species
CCACCUCAGUUCUAAGUUUCUCAGGUUUAGUAGUGGGUUUCUGAAGGUAUGUGUACAAAUCGCUUUAUCGUCUUUGGCCCUAGUGAGAUAGAAAACCACCAAGAAAUUAAAAGCAGAUGCUACGUUGGGAUCUUGAACCAUCCAGGGCCUUCUUAAUGUUAGCCCGUCAGGACUCGGGUUUUAUCUGAUCUCAAGAGGUCCUUCUGGGCAGAUCCAUCACCCUCCCUUACAAGUGUCUACUGCUUUUCCUUCCAUCUGAUGGUUCAAGGAAUCCUGCCAGCCCCUGGCAGAGUUCUUAGAGAUCCAUGGUAGUAAAGAUUGCUGCCAGGUUGGCAUGAAAGCUGCUUUAAGCUUGCUGCUUUUCCAGGGCUUCUGAAGAAGGAAACCUGGAUUUCCUAGAGCAUUAGUACAGAGGAAGCAAGAUGGCGCUGAUUAGCUACACCAGAGAAGAAGUUAUGCUCUCCUCUUAGAAUUGUCCGAACAUUCCAUUUUGGGCAGUGAAAGAAAGGCAUCCAUGUUGCAUUGCCCUGAAGAAACAGGUGUUGGUAUUUCUUGAAUAUUUCCAGAUCAUCUUCUGAUGGAGGGAGGAGAAGGCUCCUACGGUUAGUGAGCAUUGCUAGCACUCUUCUGGGAAAGCAGGGUGAGGAAUGGAUUCAUGUGUUCCUCUGGAGUAGACAAGGCACAAAGACCACUUGAUUGUCAUUGGGUUGUUUUGAGAGUUGCUGGUGACAGUCAAGUCCCAAGUCAAAGAAGGGAGGAUGGUCCAGGGAGCUAGGCAGCUUCUUCUUGGAAUAGCCAGACGCCAGAAGCAUUCCCAGAAAGCUUUUGAAAGCAAAAUUGGAAAUUCUCAGAUUUAUUACAUAUGUAGUUCUUUACUAGGUUUAAUUGUUAAGGUAACCGUGAUCUUUUAAAACAAUUUCAGAAGUAUUCAUUGGGGUGGGAUGGGAGUUGGGGGACAAAAUAAAGUAACAGAAGUGGCCCUAACCACCAAGAACUGCUGUUCGUUGACCUGCAGUAUCAUUUAGAGGAGGAGAGCACCUAAUUUGUCAGAGAAAGCCUCCUGUCAUCUAGUGAACCCAGAUGAUAUGUGUACAUGAAGAAUAGCCCCCAAGAAUGAUGGCUUUCUCGUGAGUUCCUUCUGUCUUAGCAUUAGCUUGGGUUUUUACACCUGGAAGAAAUCAAAAUAUCAGUUUAUUCUCAGAAAAAAAAUCUUUCUUCCCCUUCGUCCAUACUUUGUGAAAGGAUUGGGAAUUCACCCCCUGCAGCCAAAGUACCCUGGACAAUAGCCUGGCAAGCAGCUCAUUGUCCACAGGAGGGCAUGGAACCUAGCUGGCUUUUGGUUACUUCAUCCAGCUGGCAAGUUUUGUUCACUUAUUGUAGAUGUAAGUAUAGUUUGAUCUUCUGUGAGGAUUUGUGUAGCAAGGUAUUUGAAUGCUUUUUACUGGACUAUGAGAGAUCUGGGCUUGAGUUCCUGGCCAUGUUAGUGCAAAAGUCAUGUAGCUUUAGAUAAGUCCCUGACACCAAGCUUCAGGAUCCAAGUGUUAACAGGAAAGAGCUGAAAUAAAUGACCUUUAAUGUGGUAUCUAGGUUUGACCUUGAUUUGGAGGGUAGGCCAGAGAUGAGAGAGAUGGGGAGUUUCCAGUCUUGGAAGAUGUCCUGCCAGGGCAGAUAAACUUUGUUCUUGGCUAGAAGGUCUUGGGGCUUCCAGUGGCAGGGACAGUCUUGCUCAGCAUGAGCACGAGAACACUUCCUUCUUUCCUUUGGCAUAGUUUUACAUGGAAUUGGUUUAUGCUUAGAGGGUAACAGCAAGAAGAGCAUCCUUUUGGCCCUAGCCCAUCUUCCAUCUCCAGGCACUGUGAAUCCUUUCUACUAUCCAUACUCCUCACUGAUGGAGGAGACUAUCUGAAGAAGCCAUUCCCAGUUCUAGAACUUCUGUUUUUCUCAGCCAAACCCCUGUCGCAAUUUGAAUAAAUUAUGAAACCG